UGCCCCAUGGCUGAGUUGGUUACAGCGUCCGACUGUUAUUUAUAAUAAUCGGAAGGUCGUGAGUUCGAGCCUCACUGGGGCAG
rfam:Moniliophthora roreri strain MCA 2952 kmer90.94530, whole genome shotgun sequence.